rnacentral:rRNA from 1 species
UACGGGGGGGGCAAGCGUUGUUCGGAAUUACUGGGCGUAAAGGGCUCGUAGGCGGCCAACUAAGUCCGACGUGAAAUCCCAAGGCUUAACCUUGGAACUGCGUCGGAUACUGGAUGGCUUGAAUUCGGGAGAGGGAUGCAGAAUUCCAGGUGUAGCGGUGAAAUGCGUAGAUAUCUGGAGGAAUACCGGUGGCGAAAGCGGCGCACUGGACCACAUCUGACGCUGAGGCGCGAAAGCUAGGGGAGCAAACAGG